rnacentral:lncRNA from 10 species
AAAAUCAUGCAAAGUUCCUCAGAAGUUGGUUAUGAUGCUAUAUUGAAGAUUUUGCGAAUAUGGUGGAAAAAGGAAUUAGUGACCCAACAAAGGUUGUAAGACCUGCUUUACUGGAUGCUGCUGGGGUGGCCUCUCUGUUAACUGCAGCACAAGUUGCAGUCACACAAAUUCCUAAAGAAGAGACAGGCCUUGGAAUGGGUGCAAUGGGUGCAAUGGGAGGUGGAUGGGAGGUGGCAUGUUCUAA